GUUCAGCUCCUGUGUUCAUGCGUGUUGCACUCACAGUGCAAGGUCUUCAGCAGCAGAGUGGCUUCCAGUGAUGGCCUUGGUACAGAGAAUCCAGACCUCGCUUCCAUGUAGAUUUCUUUUUAGGAAUUUUUCAGUAUGAUGGUACUUGGAAAAUGGAAUGGAGAACUUUCUGUGGAAACAAAUUGAGCCUAAACUUGGUAGAUGUUUCUGGAAUCAUCUGUCUCCACAUUUCCAAAUGCCUCUGUCCAUAUUGAUGCACUUCUCCCCCUUUCUGCAGGUUCUCCAGCAGGAGUAUUAGAGUCUGCUCCUGUUUUUCCACCUGAUGAAUUUCUCAGUUGUAAAUGACACUUUCACUUGUGGGAGAGACAGCAGUCCACCUCCCGUUCCUAGUAAUGUCUGUGUCCACCAAAGACAAUGAGAUUAUUCUAGAUUGAAAGUGAAGUUUUCUGUCUACAACAGUGUCUUUAUUGAAACUGUAAAUCUGCAAAAUGUUUUGGAGUUGACAAAACUUCUUGUGCUGUUUUCAUUUAAACUCAGACCAACAAACCCAAACACCAGUUCUGACCAUAUUGCAAAGUUUUAACUUCUAACACUUUCCUUCCAUUUUAAUUGGGAUAUUUUAUACUAUGGCUUUUAAAAAUCUUUAUUUCAUUUGAAAUAUCAUGAGUUUUCUGGAAAAAGGUCCUUCUGUCUGCCAGAAAAAACCUUUGUCCUCCUUGGAAACUGCAUUUGCCCUUCUACAUAUUGAAUUUGUGAAAAACUGUAUUCCUGCCUGGAUUUAGUGUGCUGAUUUGAUCUCAGCUCCAAAAUCUGAUUCUGCUCCCAGUUCUCCUUUAGACUGACAUGACCAAAAGUAGGAUUUUGCCCUUUUGCUCCCAGAAGACGGCCUACGCAGACAGACCUGUUUGUUUAGCAGAGCAUUCAUACUAAAUGAUACCAACAAUGUUAAGUAUUGAACUUUGCUAAUAGAUUUUGAUGAAUUUCAAAGACCAAUUAAACCAAGAAGAGUACAAA